rnacentral:rRNA from 1 species
AGCCUUAUGAUAACUAUAUAAGGUUAAACCUGCUCACUGAACUUAAAAUUUAAAGAGCCGCAGUACCUUGACUGUGCUAAGGUAGCAUAAUAAAUUGACUUUUAAUUGGGGCCUUGUAUGAAAGGAUUAAUGGGUAGUUUCUGUCUUUAUUUAAUUUAUUUUAAGUUACUUAAAAGGUGAAAAUUCCUUUACUUAUUUUAAUAGACGAGAAGACCCUAGGAGUUUAUAAAUUAUUUUGUUGGGGCGACAGUGUAGCAAAUAACCUACAUAAUUAAAUUUAAUUUAACGAAUUACUAUUAAUUAAAAUUAAGCUACCCUAGGGAUAACAGCAUAAUAAAUAUUUUAAGUUUGUGACCUCGAUGUUGGAUUAGGAACUUUUAAAGCUAACAGCGUUAAUUGACAGUUCUGUUCGAACUUUUUUACCUACA